UCUAAUACCGGAUAUGACCAUCUUGGGCAUCCUUGAUGGUGUAAAGCUCCGGCGGUGAAGGAUGAGCCCGCGGCCUAUCAGCUUGUUGGUGAGGUAAUGGCUCACCAAGGCGACGACGGG
rnacentral:rRNA from 2 species